rnacentral:rRNA from 1 species
UACGGUAGGGUGCGAGCGUUAAUCGGAAUUACUGGGCGUAAAGCGUGCGCAGGCGGCGCGUUAAGACAGGUGUGAAAGCCCCGAGCUUAACUUGGGAAUUGCGCUUGUGACUGGCGUGCUGGAGUGUGGCAGAGGGAGGUGGAAUUCCACGUGUAGCAGUGAAAUGCGUAGAGAUGUGGAGGAACACCGAUGGCGAAGGCAGCCUCCUGGGCCAGCACUGACGCUGAGGAGCGAAAGCGUGGGGAGCGAACAGG